AGCUGGCGCAGAGCUCAGGCAGCGCUGUAGAUUGUGUAUCUGAAUGUCUGCUACAACGGUCGCUAUAUUUUUCUGAAAACCGAAGAUGCAGGCAGCUCAAAGUCAAACAUUACAAGUGUAUCUUCCUGAUUGCCAGCCAGCAGCAGAGUUUGCGUCAUUAGCCAUCUUCCACACACAACACAGAUGCGCAUCUUUUUUUAACCACGGUGUCAACAUACCAGGUACCGAAGUGCAGUAUAAUUACGCUGGUGCUCUAUGCUGUUAACAACUACCUAUUAAUUUAGGACAGUGGUCUCCAACCCUUGUCCUGGAUAUCUUAUUUCUGUUUUCACCUUAAAAUCAGCACCAACGUUGUGGCGCAAGUAACCAGGUUCUUUCAGAGUGUGAAGUUUAGCAGUUGAGAGAAGAUUGAGGGCACAGAGAGGAGGAUGCACAGAGAGGAGGUCCCACAUCGGCUUUGGGAACGGUUGGUGAGCUGCUGUUGGGGCUGGGAAUGCUGAACAAUUCCGAACAUUGGGAAUCUGGGCCAGGGUUAGAGCACGCGGAUCUACAGAGGUGGAAUGGCAGCAAACGGACGUGACCCUACAUGG